UCCCACAGGCCAAAUGUUUUGGAAAGGCAAAAGCAGGAGAGUUGGAGAAACUAGGUGAAUUUGAAGUUGCUGGAAAAAAGAGACUGAUACACAGCUGAAUUACA
rnacentral:lncRNA from 1 species